AGUCCGCUUUCAUCUCCAAUAAAUAUCAAUUAUCAUUACUUCAUCCAAAAACCUUCCGAGUAAAUCUUGAUUAUCAAUUACACAAUAUAUACACAGCGAUAUCGAUUCGACGUAUAAAAAUCUCAGUUCAAUCCCAGAUUUUGUGUGUAGGUGAAGUUUAUUGAAAAAAAAAGACUCUUUCGCUUUCCUCCUUUUCUCCUAUUAAAGAGGAUCAAGAAUUCGAGAAUAAGAAAUUACAACAGCUAACAAUGUUUUACAAUGGAAAAUUUGUGGAUACUCAUGUUACUGAGCUUCAGGCUAAAACUAUAAUAUAUCUUGCAAGUAGAGAAAUAGAGGAGAAAACAUACAAGAUGUCUGAGCCGUUAUUACAACCUCAAACUGUGAAGAAAUCUUUACAGAGAUUUCUACAAAAAAAAAAAAAAAAAGAAUUCAAACAACCUUCGCUAUAUCA